rnacentral:rRNA from 1 species
AACGUAGGAGACAAGCGUUAUCCGGAUUUACUGGGCGUAAAGCGCGUGCAGGCGGUUCGGUAAGUCGGGCGUGAAAGCUCCUGGCUCAACUGGGAGAGGCCGUCCGAAACUGCCGGACUUGAGGGCGACAGAGGGGAGUGGAAUUCCGGGUGUAGUGGUGAAAUGCGUAGAUAUCCGGAGGAACACCAGUGGCGAAGGCGGCUCCCUGGGUCGCUCCUGACGCUCAGACGCGAAAGCGUGGGUAGCGAACGGG